GCUUCCCCUGGGGUCACAGACAUCACACGACUGAGCUCUAGGAGUGGCACUUGUGCAUACGUGGGCCCGGCUUCCCAGACCUGCCCCUAAAAUCUCCAGGUGGUGCCCUUGCGAGCAUCACCCCCAGGGGAGCAGAAGAAGCCCAAGAGCCACGAGCAAGGCUGAGUCACACAUGGGAGGAGCCGGGACUCCCGGAUGACCACAUCCGAUCCACACCACGCUGUGCCCAGGUGACCAGUACUUGCCCCGCACUGGGCCCUGUCCUGCGGGUGGUCUGUCUCUGCAGCCAGCCCGCUAGCUGAGGACAAUCAUCACAGACAAACGGCGUCUGUGUCAGACCCAUGCUGGCAACCUUUGACUUUUCUCAGAGCUCAUUUAACGCGUGACCUCAGUGGUGGCCAGAAUGUCAAGGAACUAUAAAUAUAAAGCAUCUUGGUGGCAAAUGACAAAAGACGCAUUUGGAUCCCAGACAAAGGGAAGGAAAGGUGGACUUUCCUUGGUGUCAGAAGUGGGACCCAGAAGAGAUGGCCCCCAGAGGACAAUGACCCUUGGACUCAAGCAGAUGCCCACAGUCAGCCCCCUGCUCAUGUCAGCCUUGUAUUAGGAGUUUGUACACCCAUUUUACAGAUGCGGAGAGUGGAAGGAGGACUUUCUCAAGGUCAAGGCAGGCCCCCUGGGAGCAAUGGGGAGCGGGACAAUCAUCGUGGGCUCACCAUGGCAGGUUGCGGACACGUCUACCUCCCCCACUAGCCGGUGACCUCCCUGGGCAAGGACUGUCCCCAUCUGUUCUUACAGCCCAGCACCUAACCUGAAGACGCAGAGAAUUUUUCAACUCACUUCAAGAGCGUUCCUGGUUGCUGGCUGCCAUAAGGUCCUCAUCCGAUGAUUCCAGCAUCCGCGUCAUCUUGGUGCUGGUGUCUGCCGACUGUCGCUUCUCAUUCAUGUUGUGGCUUUCCUUGUUCUUGGGGUGAUGAGUGAUUUUCCACUGUAUCCCAGGCAAGAGACUGGAUCUUCUCCGGCCUUCUCUCUUUAGGAGGAAGUCCCUGUCGGGGUGCAGUAUUUAUGGCGCCCCCCACCCGGGCCUCCUCCUUGUAUGCAGUUAGGGAGGGAUUCAGCUGGUUAGGGAGGGAUUCGGCUCCCUCCUUGACCCACUGACGCCCUUCCUGAGAAAGUGGGGAGCAAACAGAGUGCAUGAAAGGGAACAGGAUGCUGCGCAGACCCACCUCCCCGCAGCUUGCUCUGGCUCAUCUGUGCUGAGCGAACAGAGAGGGUCACUCCCGCCAAGAGACCACCUGCUUUGGAAGACAGCCCUGUGAGCUACACCUGUAAGGAGCGUAAAUCACAUUUAAUCCUCAGGUCUGUUAUGAGGAUUACCCGAGCUCAGCACAGUCCACGGAUCCCAGGAGCUCAUUAGAAAAGCAGAUUUCAGGCCGUGCCCCAGACCCCAAGGAUGAGACUCUGAAAUUUAACGAGCUACCCAGAGGUUUCAGAUGGUCCCCGCCUCAGACACCCAGACCUGGGGAGGCAUCUGCAUUCCACCCGCCCUUACGGUGCAGAAGGCAGGCUGGCCUCCACUGCAGAUGCCAUGAGGGUGCUGCAAAGCCUAAUGGGCUGCUGCCCCUCAUGCAUUAUUUCAAGGGAUGACAGCUUUAUCCCAUGUGGAAUUUCUUCAAGAACAGCUUCUUUGAGGAUGAGCUUUUACCUUUUUUUUUUUUUUGACCUCACAUCCAAGAAUGAGUGGAAAAGUACUUGCGCAUCAUGAGUCAGAAUUCGUCAGACCCCAGAACACGGAAGAACGGAUGUAUCACCGUAAGGCCUCCCAUGGAGGACCGACCACGCACAGUGAGAACCCAGUUACGCGUGCCCCACCCCAGCCCCUCCAUCAUCCUCCGAUGCAAGAACAACUGUCAAGCAACAUCCUUCCCAUCUUUGUUACACAAAGAA